UACGGAAGGCAGCAGUGGGGAAUAUUGCACAAUGGGCGCAAGCCUGAUGCAGCCAUGCCGCGUGUAUGAAGAAGGCCUUCGGGUUGUAAAGUACUUUCAGUCGUGAGGAAGGUGUUAAGGUUAAUAACCUUAGCAAUUGACGUUAGCGACAGAAGAAGCACCGGCUAACUCCGUGCCAGCAGCCGCGGUAAUACGGAGGGUGCGAGCGUUAAUCGGAAUUACUGGGCGUAAAGGGCACGCAGGCGGUUAAUUAAGUUGGAUGUGAAAUCCCCGGGCUUAACCUGGGAAUGGCAUUCAAGACUGGUUAGCUAGAGUCUUGUAGAGGGGGUAGAAUUCCAUGUGUAGCGGUGAAAUGCGUAGAGAUGUGGAGGAAUACCGGUGGCGAAGGCGGCCCCUGGGACAAAGGCUGACGCUCAUGUGCGAAAGCGUGGGGAGCAAAC
rnacentral:rRNA from 1 species